UCCCGACCCAAGAUGGCCCAGGCAGCCCAGGCGUGGAGAGCCCACCGCCCUCCUCAGGGUGCGAACCUGGGGCCGGGGACCCCCUCGGAUACAGUUCCCGAGUCAGAUACCGGGACCGGAAAGCCCGAUACAAUCAUCUCAUUAAUUUUGAGUAGCAACUAUUUAACCUCAAAUGAAGCCGCCUGCCUGCAGUGGAACAGAUGUCUAUGGGCUGCAUGAGAGGAGAAAGAGAAGAGUCUAAUGGGCUAUUCAGAGAAUUGAUCACUUGGAGAGAAGAGUUGUCAGAGGAGCUUUGCUUUGAAUUUUCUCAUGCUUUUCUGAAAGCAAGCUGCUGUUCUCAAGAAAUACGGAGUGGUGUAAAAGAAUCUCAGUUGCCCAAUCAAGAUGAACAGAAUGGCUUUCUUCAACAAGAAAAUAGAACAUUCAUUUUUUAGGAUUUUAUCUACAACAUGAAGCAUUUAGCAGUAGAUGUCUUUGAGAACAUUCAUCUAUGACCUGAAAUGUCCUGAUCCUGAGAAAAAAAAGAGAUUCCAUUAAUUAAGUCCAUAAUUUCUAAAUGCAUUUUCAUGACUAAUUAUAUUUGCUUAUGUACGAUGUGGAUACAGAAUUCAUAAACCAGAGAUUAUUUUAACACAUGCACACAUUUUGUUUUACAUUUAGUAUACAAGAUACAAAAUUUUAAUCAAAUUUCAAAUAAUCUUUUAAAUUAUCUAUAUUUAUUAAUAAAUGAAGUC
rnacentral:lncRNA from 1 species